CUUUCUCUGAACUACAGGCACAAGCCAUAUUUCUACUCCUUGGGAUCGUGGCUUUUAAAGAAAAAAGCCAGAGGAAUUGCACAGCCUGGGAUAGUGGACAGAGCACUGCAAGUCUCCUGUGCCGGACACAUAUAUUCAUCCAAGGAUGAUCUUCAACAGAGAAUGAAAGAGCUGUUCUGGAGAAAGAGCUGGCUGUCUGCAUGAGGACAAGCUCCACUGUGCUGUCCUGACACAGAUUGUGUCUGACAGCUGGGGAAUACAGUGUCUCUCACUUUCAAGAAGGAAUGCCUCACUGCCCUUUCUGCAGCUCGCAGCCAGCACUGAGGGGAAGGCACUUUUCCCGCUCUCCUGUCCACAGAGAGGGAUCUGCUGCCUCUUGUCUAGCACAGGGCCAGGGGCCUGCACAC